GUACCUACAGGGACACUUUCUGUAUGUCGCAAAUCUGAAGGAGGAAGCUGAUACAUAAGGGUCUGCAUGUGACCGAAACAGGACAACACACACUUCAAAGAACCAGUCCAUCAAUCUAUAGCUGUGCUGUUUCCUUUCUUGAGCUGGAGGCUUUUCAUACCUCACUGGUGGGAUACAAAGAAUUUGGAAAUCUUCUGAUCACAGACUGCAUCAGCACUGUUAACAGAGGCAGGGCAGUCCCAGGCAAAGUGUUCUGGUUCUGGUUCUGCAUGGGUUCUGGGGAAGCCAUCAUCACUUGAGGGGAGCAAUCUGGUUCCCAAGGCAUGAUUUUACUCCUGCUCCAGGGUACAGCCUCAUCCUAACAGGUAACUGUCCUCACUUGGGGGCUGAGUGUGAUCUGUCCCGUGAGCUCUACUGUUUGUGUCCUUGGGAGUAGUUUCGGUCCUCCUCAUAAAGAUGCUAUUGAUCAGACCUGUCUUUCCUGAAACUCAGAGCCAAAGAGACAGAUGCCCAAAUGGAGGCAGGGAUGCCCGGCUUUUCUCCUGCUUUUAGUUACCUGGUGGGCCCAGGUGAGGAGUCUUAGGAAAGCUGCAUCUAAGUACUUGCCACCCCCCCUUUAGAAUGUAGGCCUCAUGAGGCAGGGACCUUGUUUGCUUUGCUCAUUCUGAAGACAGCUGGGCCUAGAGUGGGUCUGCUACAAAGUGUUCUUGAAGUAGUUUAUGAAAGAACAGCAGCUGAUGACUAUCAAACCCUAGGCACGUGCCAAUCACCUUAUCUGUUGUAGCUCAGUUAGCCCACACAGUAACCUUGCAAGGCAGCUACUGUCCUUGUUCCCCCUUACAGACGGGGAAAUGAAAGCACAGGGUGGUUCCGUAAGAGGUACUUAACCUGCUUUUUGUCAAAAGCACUGCCUUCCUCUUGUACCCAUGAAUUAACCAAUAGCAAGGGAAAAGCAUGGCAUCUGUCCUCCAUUUUUAUCUUUGCUCUGAGCCAUUCUCUUUGCAGUCACUUUACAACCACCUUGGAAUCAAGAAAGAACAGGAAAAACAGAUGAUAACAUCUUCAUGGCACACCUAACAGUAGACCUUCCUCAGGAUGGACCAUCUGCCAGUUGACAAUCAGUCCAGAUAACAACUCCAGAACUUCUCCCUGGAAUCCGGAACUCCCCAGACUGAGAUAAUGGUCAACCAGACCACACCUGUGUCUGGCACUGUUUAUGUGUACCUUUGUCCCCUGUCCCCAGCUCUUUUGUCUGCUUAAACCUAUAGCUCCUGUCUAUACCCCAAAGAUGGCUGAGGAUGAGCUGAGUGCUUACUAUGCCUCUUCCUAUGGCAUGGCCCAAGCCAUAUAAUCAACCUCCUUUCUCUGCCUUCACCAUGUCUCUUUAUUUGGCGUUUAUGGGCGGGUGGCCAGGCCUGGCAUAUGGAAUCUUAGGAGUCUGGGCCUUGGGUCCAAAACUCUGGUUUCAGCUUCACAACUUGUCUAAGGUCAUAUGGCUAAGCAGUGAAGUUGACUCUGUGUGAGGUGGCUCCUCUGUGAGGCAAAACCACCCCUAUUGAUAAUCACCAACCUAGAUGGUUUAUUUUUCUUUUCUCAGUACUGGGAUUAGAACUCAGGGCCUCCCACUUGCCACUUGACCCUAGUCCUUUUGCUUAUAGUGUUUUUGAGAUAGGCCCUUGCAUUUUUUGCUUGUCAGGCAUGGACCUCAAUCUUCCUACCUUCACUUCCCGAGUAGCUGGGAUUACAAGUGUGAGCCACCUUGUCCAGGCACUGAUCUAGAGUUUUUAAUAGCUACACGAUGCUGCCUUCUAUAAUGAAUCAUUAAAUAACAAUUACAGAGGCCAUUGUUUUGGAGUAGGCUCCUGAGCUGGGCCUCAACAGCACAGACUAAAAUGCAAAUCUGAGUCACUCAUGUAAAGUUUUAUAUCACCAAACCCAAAGUGAGCUGUUUAUCUCACCUUCCAAGAAACCAGGAGAAAUGAGAGAGAACCACUGAAUUUCUCAAAUAGGCCAGUGUCAGUUGGCCCAAUAAACACAGGCCCCCUGUGCCCCAAGCCUCACACAAUAAAAGGUAACCCGAAGUUAACAAGCAGUUAUUUUCUAUUCUGUCUUCCUAUCCACACUUCACAAACAAAGGAACUUUGAGAUGACCAAUCUGCCUUUUGUUCUUUGGUUUUUCUUGCUCAGCCCUUUUCUGUCGAUAAAACCAACCUCUGUUGAGCUAUUUGGAACACUCAUUCUGUUUUAUGAGAUGAAAUAUGCCUGGCUUUAGGACUGAAAAUCAAGCCAGUCAAGAUCUUUAAACUGAAUUGUUGUGAUUUCACCUUUUGACAGAUCCAGUGAAGAAAUACAGAUGUGGUGCCCACUUGGCAGCCUUGGGGUCAGCUCACUGCCUAGGCAUGGGGCACAAG